UGCGAUCAUACCAGCACUAAUGCACCGGAUCCCAUUAGAACUCCACAGUUAAGUGUGCUUGGGCGAGAGUAGUACUAGGAUGGGUGACCCCCUGGGAAGUCCUCGUGUUGCA
rnacentral:rRNA from 1 species